AGCAUGGAGUUCAGCCAAGGAUGACUUGCCGGCAAACUGUGUGAGGCUUAAUUGAAGGAUUUGCAUUAGCUCCGGCAAGUUGUCUUUGGCUAAGUUUCGUCCUUU
rnacentral:pre_miRNA from 1 species